GAUGUCGAAUCUGUAUCUAAGGUGGUACAUACGCUGUAUGGAAAAAAGAUGUCGAAUCUGUAUUUAAGGUGGUACAUACCGUGUAUUCCUAAAAGAUGUCGAAUCUGUAUUUAAGGUGGUACAUACGCUGUAUUCCUAAAAGAUGUCGAAUCUGUAUCUAAGUAGGUACAUACGCUGUAUUCCUAAAAGAUGUCGAAUCUGUAUUUAAGGUGGUACAUAUGCUGUAUUCCUAAAAGAUGUCGAAUCUGUAUUUAAGGUGGUACAUACGCUGUAUUCCUAAAAGAUGUCGAAUCUGUAUUUAAGGUGGUACAUAUGCUGUAUUCCUAAAAGAUGUCGAAUCUGUAUUAAAGGUGGUACAUACGCUGUAUUCCUAAAAGAUAUCGAAUCUGUAUCUAAGUAGGUACAUACGCUGUAUUCCUAAAAGAUGUCGAAUCUGUAUUCAAGGUGGUACAUAUGCUGUAUUCCUAAAAGAUGUCGAAUCUGUAUUUAAGGUGGUACAUACGCUGUAUUCCUAAAAGAUGUCGAAUCUGUAUUAAAGGUGGUACAUACGCUGUAUUCCUAAAAGAUGUCGAAUCUGUAUCUAAGUAGGUACAUACGCUGUAUUCCUAAAAGAUGUCGAAUCUGUAUUUAAGGUGGUACAUACGCUGUAUUCCUAAAAGAUGUCGAAUCUGUAUUUAAGGUGGUACAUACCGUGUAUUCCUAAAAGAUGUCGAAUCUGUAUUAAAGGUGGUACAUACGCUGUAUUCCUAAAAGAUGUCGAAUCUGUAUUAAAGGUGGUACAUACGCUGUAUUCCUAAAAGAUGUCGAAUCUGUAUUAAAGGUGGUACAUACGCUGUAUUCCUAAAAGAUGUCGAAUCUGUAUCUAAGUAGGUACAUACGCUGUAUUCCUAAAAGAUGUCGAAUCUGUAUUAAAGGUGGUACAUAUGAUGUAUUCCUAAAAGAUGUCGAAUCUGUAUUUAAGGUGGUACAUACGCUGUAUUCAUAAAAGAUGUCGAAUCUGUAUUCAAGGUGGUACAUAUGCUGUAUUCCUAAAAGAUGUCGAAUCUGUAUUUAAGGUGGUUCAUACCGUGUAUUCCUAAAAGAUGUCGAAUCUGUAUUAAAGGUGGUACAUACGCUGUAUUCCUAAAAGAUGUCGAAUCUGUAUUAAAGGUGGUACAUACGCUGUAUUCCUAAAAGAUGUCGAAUCUGUAUUAAAGGUGGUACAUACGCUGUAUUCCUAAAAGAUGUCGAAUCUGUAUCUAAGUAGGUACAUAUGCUGUAUUCCUAAAAGAUGUCGAAUCUGUAUUUAAGGUGGUACAUACCGUGUAUUCGUAAAAGAUGUCGAAUCUGUAUUAAAGGUGGUACAUACGCUGUAUUCCUAAAAGAUAUCGAAUCUGUAUUAAAGGUGGUACAUACGCUGUAUUCCUAAAAGAUGUCGAAUCUGUAUCUAAGUAGGUACAUACGCUGUAUUCCUUAAAGAUGUCGAAUCUGUAUUUAAGGUGGUACAUACGCUGUAUUCCUAAAAGAUGUCGAAUCUGUAUCUAAGUAGGUACAUACGCUGUAUUCCUAAAAGAUGUCGAAUCUGUAUUUAAGGUGGUACAUAUGCUGUAUUCCUAAAGAUGUCGAAUCUGUAUUAAAGGUGGUACAUACGCUGUAUUCCUAAAAGAUGUCGAAUCUGUAUUCAAGGUGGUACAUAUGCUGUAUUCCUAAAAGAUGUCGAAUCUGUAUUUAAGGUGGUACAUACCGUGUAUUCCUAAAAGAUGUCGAAUCUGUUUUAAAGGUGUUACAUACGCUGUAUUCCUAAAAGAUGUCGAAUCUGUAUUAAAGAUGGUACAUACGCUGUAUUCCUAAAAUAUGUCGAAUCUGUAUCUAAGUAGGUACAUACGCUGUAUUCCUAAAAGAUGUCGAAUCUGUAUUUAAGGUGGUACAUACGCUGUAUUCCUAAAAGAUGUCGAAUCUGUAUUAAAGGUGGUACAUACGCUGUAUUACUAAAAUAUGUCGAAUCUGUAUUUAAGGUGGUACAUAUGCUGUAUUCCUAAAAGAUGUCGAAUCUGUAUUCAAGGUGGUACAUAUGCUGUAUUCCUAAAAGAUGUCGAAUCUGUAUUCAAGGUGGUACAUAUGCUGUAUUCCUAAAAGAUGUCGAAUCUGUAUUCAAGGUGGUACAUACGCUGUAUUUCUAAAAGAUGUCGAAUCUGUAUUCAAGGUGGUACAUACGCUGUAUUCCUAAAAGAUGUCGAAUCUGUAUUCAAGGUGGUACAUAUGCUGUAUUCCUAAAAGAUGUCGAAUCUGUAUUCAAGGUGGUACAUAUGCUGUAUUCCUAAAAGAUGUCGAAUCUGUAUUUAAGUAGGUACAUACGCUGUAUUCCUAAAAGAUGUCGAAUCUGUAUUUAAGGUGGUACAUAUGCUGUAUUCCUAAAAGAUGUCGAAUCUGUAUUAAAGGUGGUACAUAUGCUGUAUUCCUAAAAGAUGUCGAAUCUGUAUUAAAGGUGGUACAUAUGCUGUAUUCCUAAAAGAUCUCGAACCUGUAUUAAAGGUGGUACAUAUGAUGUAUUCAUAAAAGAUGUCGAAUCUGUAUUUAAGAUGGUACAUACGCUGUAUUGCUGAAAGAUGUCGAAUCUGUAUUAAAGGUGGUACAUACGCUGUAUUUCUAAAAGAUGUCGAAUCUGUAUUUAAGUAGGUACAUAUGCUGUAUUCCUAAAAGAUGUCGAAUCUGUAUUAAAGGUGGUACAUACGCUGUAUUCCUACAAGAUGUCGAAUCUGUAUCUAAGUAGGUACAUAUGCUGUAUUCCUAAAAGAUGUCGAAUCUGUAUUAAAGGUGGUACAUAUGCUGUAUUCCUAAAAGAUGUCGAAUCUGUAUUCAAGGUGGUAUAUACGCUGUAUUCCUAAAAGAUGUCGAAUCUGUAUUUAAAUAGGUACAUACGCUCCUCAGAUAUGAGAGGAUUACAGCUGAUUUACAUAGACGUAAUAAAUAGAUAAUUUAUCUGUUCUCUUGUUAAAUAAAAUUUACAGUUUUGAUAAAACAGGAAAAGUGUCAUUAUCUGAAAUUUUCCAGAUGCAGUUACACUUUUAGAAGAUGUUUUGUAGUUAUUGUUUUGCAAUGAAGUUUUAAUUGCGUCUAUUUUUCUGUCAUCAAAUUGAAACCUUUAUAUCAUUGCUUUUGUAUGACAAUAUGAAUCUCUGUACUAUCUUGUCUUUUCCUGGUUUAUUUGCCAAAAUCUGAACUUUCUGCUGAUAAAUGAUAUCACUUCUAUGUAAAUGGUGAAUGAUUCCCAAAAGAUGUAAUAAUGUAUUUAAAUAUGUACAAUAAGAUUUUGAUUUUCAGUCCCCUACCGACGAAGUCGAAGGGGACUUUAGGUUUGCACUCUGUCCGUCUGUCCGUCCGUCCGUCUGUCCAUCCGUCAGUCCGGCAAAUCAGUUUUCCACACUUUUUUUCUUCGUUCUUGAAGAUAUUGAUUUGAUAUUUGGUAUAUAGUUUUGCCAUGACAAGUUAUAGAUCAAGUUCGAAUUUUGUUCCGGUCGGAUGAUUUAGUCCAGAGUUAUGGACCAUAACUGUAUUAUGUUAAACCAUAUUUCUGUACAAAGGAAGAUAACUCAUUUUUUAUAAGACAUUCUUUGGUAAAUUAUUUGAAGAAUUUUUUGGCAGGUUUGUUUGUUAUUUUGUAUAAACUAAUUUUCUGAAUGCUAUAUAUAUAGAAAAAAAAUUAUGAAGUGAAAUCCUUUAAUUAGAUGAUAAUCUAUUUUUAUUAAUGUAUAUAUUACAUUAUAUUGUGUAGAUAAAAAUUGUUGACAUUUUAUAGAUAAGUUACAAAUCUAUAUUAGUUUGUGACAAAUAAAAGAAAAAAUAUUUGGAACUAUUAAUUAUAUUUGAUUAUAAUUUGAAAAUAGAUAUACACUGUAUUACAUCAUAUCUAAUUUUAGAGAACUAUUAAUCAUAUCUAAUGUUAAAGUGUUUUCCACACUUUUUUUCAUCAUGCUUGAAGAUAUUGAUUGAUAAUUGGUAUAUAGUUUUAUCAUGACAAGUUAUACAGAUCAAGUUCGAAAUUUUGUUUCGGUCUGAUAAUUUUGUGCAGAGUUAUGGUCCUUGGACUUGAAACAUUCACUCAUUUAAUCAGUUUUCCACACUGUUUUUGGUCAUGCUUGAAGAUAUUGACUUGAUAUUUUCUUUUUGUUUACACCAUGACAACUUAUAGAACAAGUUAGCUUUUUGUUCCAGUAUAACGAAUUUUUAUACGGUAGGGGACUAUGUAUUGCCGUGCAAUACUCUCAGAAUGCUUGUUAUUAAUGUAUCUCUUAUUUAUUGAGUUGUUUCACAUAUGUAGUAACUUAGUUCAACUGCUUUCGAUAUAUUUUUUAACGGAUUAAGAUGUUUUGUUUUAAUAUUUUUUAGAUUCUGAUAAUUUGAACUAUUUUAUAGCUAAAAAAACUGUUAUGUUAGAAAAUUGCUUUAAUUUUGAGGAUGUAUACUUGUAAUUAUUUUGAAUAUUUUAAUUCUUUAUUAUCUGUAUCUGUUUAGUCAACUAACAUAACAAUAAAAUUGUAAAUCUAAAAUUUCA